rnacentral:rRNA from 1 species
UACAGAGGAUGCAAGCGUUAUCCGGAAUGAUUGGGCGUAAAGCGUCUGUAGGUGGCUUUUUAAGUCCGCCGUCAAAUCCCAGGGCUCAACUCUGGACAGGCGGUGGAAACUACCAAGCUGGAGUACGGUAGGGGCAGAGGGAAUUUCCGGUGGAGCGGUGAAAUGCGUAGAGCUCGGGAAGAACAUCGGUGGCGAAAGCGCUCUGCUGGACUGCAACUGACACUCAGGGACGAAAGCUAGGGGAGCGAAUGGG